rnacentral:rRNA from 1 species
GACGAACGCUGGCGGCGUGCUUAACACAUGCAAGUCGAGCGGUAAGGCCCUUUCGGGGGUACACGAGCGGCGAACGGGUGAGUAACACGUGGGUGACCUGCCCUCAGCUCUGGGAUAAGCCUGGGAAACCGGGUCUAAUACUGGAUAUGACUCCAUGACGCAUGUUGUGGGGUGGAAAGCCUUGUGCGGCUGAGGAUGGGCCCGCGGCCUAUCAGCUUGUUGGUGGGGNGAUGGCCUACCAAGGCGACGACGGGUAGCCGGCCUGAGAGGGUGACCGGCCACACUGGGACUGAGACACGGCCCAGACUCCUACGGGAGGCAGCAGUGGGGAAUAUUGCACAAUGGGCGCAAGCCUGAUGCAGCGACGCCGCGUGA